rnacentral:rRNA from 1 species
UACGUAGGCAGCCAGCGUUGUUCGGAGUUACUGGGCGUAAAGGGUGCGUAGGCGGCUUCUUAAGUCUGGUGUGAAAUCUCCCGGCUCAACUGGGAGGGUGCGCCGGAUACUGAGGGGCUAGAGUGUGGGAGAGGAAAGUGGAAUUCCUGGUGUAGCGGUGAAAUGCGUAGAUAUCAGGAGGAACACCGGUGGUGUAAACGGCUUUCUGGACCAUAACUGACGCUGAGGCACGAAAGCGUGGGUAGCAAACAGG